CCAGCAUUCAUCCCGUACAUGUCCAUGUAAAUUCACAUUUUCAACCAGAAAAAAUCUCUCUGGACUUUGGACACAUGCUAUGAGGUAAAUAAUUGCAUUUCUAAUAGAGGGACAAGAUUUUGCAAAAUCUUCAGAAAUGUGGUGCAGAUUUCUGCGAAUCUGUCGUUUGUCAUGACCUUGAACUUUCAUCUCUAAAAUGGCCGCACGUAGCUGUCUUUGAAUGAAUUUGAAGAAUGAUGAUCAGCCGAUUCUAGAACACAAAAAAUAAGAAGAAUAAUCGAUGCAUUGUGUGCAUAAGAACGGUGCCCACUUCUGCAGGUAGACUUUAUAUUGUCUCUGAGUUGCCCUCCUCCAUGAUUCCAGCAUGACAGUCUGAGCUUCCUCCGAAACUCCUCUUGCUUUGAGACUUCUCCUGACAAGCGACAGGCCAUCAGGUGGAGUUUGUUCCUCAGUGGAUGCAGCUUCUCUGACCAUGGUAGCGUUAGCAGUCUCUGUUUCCUGGGUAGCACUCUGGGUACAUCCACCAGCAUAUUCAUCAGUCUCAGUUUUCAUCAAACUGUUUCAGUCUACCUGCUGUAAACCUGCUGACAUUCACAAGAGGUACACUAUCACAGACCUGUUCAUCAGUGUGGGAAGUUGGUUCAGGUGGUUCAGGCUUUGACUUUUCCCCUUUUGUUUCUUGGAGGGCCCUGACGACUGCACCAAAAACACUUCUUGUAAACCAUGGUACCCAUAAGCAUGAUUAGGGCCGCCUCUAUAGAAGUUCCGUGACUCUCCAGGUAAGGUGAUUCCCACGAUAUGGGCGCCGGCCUCUGC